ACCCUGUUUGACGUUACCCAUGCCUUUUGCGUACAGUUGUUUUCCCAGCAGGGCAUUACGCCCUACGGGAUAUCAAUCCACCCAUUGUAUUUGCAGUCAAUGUCUGAAAAAUAAUAAUAAUUACAACUUUUAACAACGGAUCUCUUGGUCUGGCAUCGAUGAAGAACGCAGCGAAAUGCGAUAAGUAGUGUGAAUUGCAGAAUUCAGUGAAUCAUCGAAUCUUUGAACGCACAUUGCGCCCCUUGGUAUUUCAUGGGGCAUGCCUGUUCGAGCGUCAUUUGUACCCUCAAGCUUUGCUUGGUGUUGGGUGUUUGUCCCGCGCUCUUUUGCGCAAGACUCGCCUUAAAUCAAUUGGCAGCCGGCAUGUUAGCCUGGAGCGCAGCACAUUUGCGCCCCUUGCUUGCUUGUGUUGGCCCCAUCAAGUCCAUAUAUUUGCUCUUGACCUCGGAUCAGGUAGGGAUACCCGCUGAACUUAA
rnacentral:rRNA from 1 species